rnacentral:misc_RNA from 1 species
AUGAUUUGGCCGAAAGGCCUAUAAUCUUCAUCCUUUAUACCCAUGUGAACGAUUCAUAAGUCGGUUGGGGCCUUUUCGGAGGUCUUGGCCGACUUAUUUAUUAUAAACUAUGUGUCAUGAACGUUUAUUUACAUAACAAACA